rnacentral:rRNA from 1 species
AUUCCAGCUCCGAUAGCGUAUACUAAAGUUGUUGCGGUUAAAAAGCUCGUAGUUGGAUCUUGGAAUGUGUUCAAGCGGGUCAGCUUCUGGCUGUUCGCUGCUUGACGUGUUCUUCUAUUUGGUUUUGGUGCGGUGCGCUUAACUGCGUGUCGCUCCCGGCCGAAACGUUUACCUUGAAAAAAUUAGAGUGUUCAAAGCAGACCUGUUUGAGUCUGAAUAUUCGUGCAUGGAAUAAUGAAAUAUGAAUUCGGUUCUAUUUUGUUGGUUUUCGGAACUCGAGUUAAUGAUCAAGAGGGACAGACGGGGGCAUUCGUACUCUGCCGUUAGAGGUGAAAUUCUUGGAUCGGCGGAAGACGCGCAACUGCAAAAGCAUUUGCCAAGAAUGUUUUCAUCG